GAACGCUGGCGGCAGGCUUAACACAUGCAAGUCGAGCGGGGGAAGGUAGCUUGCUACUGGACCUAGCGGCGGACGGGUGAGUAAUGCUUAGGAAUCUGCCUAUUAGUGGGGGACAACAUCUCGAAAGGGAUGCUAAUACCGCAUACGUCCUACGGGAGAAAGCAGGGGAUCUUCGGACCUUGCGCUAAUAGAUGAGCCUAAGUCGGAUUAGCUAGUUGGUGGGGUAAAGGCCUACCAAGGCGACGAUCUGUAGCGGGUCUGAGAGGAUGAUCCGCCACACUGGGACUGAGACACGGCCCAGACUCCUACGGGAGGCAGCAGUGGGGAAUAUUGGACAAUGGGGGGAACCCUGAUCCAGCCAUGCCGCGUGUGUGAAGAAGGCCUUAUGGUUGUAAAGCACUUUAAGCGAGGAGGAGGCUACUUUAGUUAAUACCUAGAGAUAGUGGACGUUACUCGCAGAAUAAGCACCGGCUAACUCUGUGCCAGCAGCCGCGGUAAUACAGAGGGUGCGAGCGUUAAUCGGAUUUACUGGGCGUAAAGCGUGCGUAGGCGGCUUAUUAAGUCGGAUGUGAAAUCCCCGAGCUUAACUUGGGAAUUGCAUUCGAUACUGGUGAGCUAGAGUAUGGGAGAGGAUGGUAGAAUUCCAGGUGUAGCGGUGAAAUGCGUAGAGAUCUGGAGGAAUACCGAUGG
rnacentral:rRNA from 1 species